rnacentral:rRNA from 1 species
GGCUGAGUAACACGUUGAAUAACCUGCCCUCAAUUUCGGAAUAACCCAGGGAAACCUGGGCUAAUACCGGAUACGUAAACCUGUGGCAUCACAUGGUUUUGGAAAGUUUUUCGAUUGAGGAUGGAUUCGCGGCCUAUCAGCUUGUUGGUGAGGUAAUGGCUCACCAAGGCGACGACGGGUAGCCGGCCUGAGAGGGUGGACGGCCACACUGGGACUGAGACACGGCCCAGACUCCUACGGGAGGCAGCAGUGGGGAAUAUUGCGCAAUGGACGAAAGUCUGACGCAGCGACGCCUCGUGAGGGACGAAGGUCUUCGGAUUGUAAACCUCUUUCAGCAGGGACGAAGCGAAAGUGACGGUACCUGCAGAAGAAGCACCGGCUAACUAUGUGCCAGCAGCCGCGGUAAUACAUAUGGUGCGAGCGUUGUCCGGAUUUAUUGGGCGUAAAGAGUUCGUAGGCGGUUUUUCGCGUCGGAUGUGAAAACUCAGGGCUCAACCCUGAGCCUGCAUUCGACACGGGAAGACUCGA